AGAGUUUGAUCAUGGCUCAGAACGAACGCUGGCGGCGUGCUUAACACAUGCAAGUCGAGUGCGCGUCCGUAGCAAUACGGAUGGCGCACGGCGCACGGGUGCGUAACACGUGGGCAAUCUGCCCUCCGAUGGGGAAUAACUCCGGGAAACCGAAGCUAAUUCCGCAUAACAUUCCUUGGACUCCGGUUCGGGGAAUCAAAGCAGUGAUGCGUCGGAGGAGGAGCCCGCGCCCGAUUAGCUUGUUGGCGAGGUAACGGCUCACCAAGGCAAUGAUCGGUAGCUGGUCUGAGAGGAUGGCCAGCCACACUGGAACUGAGACACGGUCCAGACUCCUACGGGAGGCAGCAGUGGGGAAUCUUGCGCAAUGGGCGAAAGCCUGACGCAGCGACGCCGCGUGGGGGAUGAAGCUUCUCGGAGUGUAAACCCCUUUCGACUGGGAAGAAUGCCCGCAAGGGAGUGACGGUACCAGUAGAAGAAGCCCCGGCUAACUACGUGCCAGCAGCCGCGGUAAGACGUAGGGGGCCAGCGUUGUUCGGAAUUACUGGGUGUAAAGGGUUCGUAGGCGGUGUGGCAAGUCGGGAGUGAAAUUUCUGGGCUUAACUCAGAAGCUGCUUCCGAAACUGCUGUGCUCGAGUGUGGGAGAGGCGCGUGGAAUUGCAGGUGUAGCGGUGAAAUGCGUAGAUAUCUGCAGGAACACCCGUGGCGAAAGCGGCGCGCUGGACCACAACUGACGCUGAGGAACGAAAGCUAGGGGAGCAAACAGGAUUAGAUACCCUGGUAGUCCUAGCCCUAAACGAUCAGGACUUGGGGUGCCUUCCGUUCGGAAGUCGUCCCGGAGCUAACGCGUUAAGUCCUGCACCUGGGGAGUACGUCGCAGACUGAAACUCAAAGGAAUUGACGGGGGCCCGCACAAGCGGUGGAACAUGUGGUUCAAUUCGACGCUACGCGAGGAACCUUA
rnacentral:rRNA from 1 species